CGUGUAGGCGGCCGUGCAAGUCGGAUGUGAAAGCCCUCGGCUUAACCGAGGAAGUGCGUUCGAAACUGCAUGGCUUGAGUACCGGAGAGGGUGGUGGAAUUCCCGGUGUAGAGGUGAAAUUCGUAGAUAUCGGGAGGAACACCAGUGGCGAAGGCGACCACCUGGACGGCUACUGACGCUGAGACGCGAAAGCGUGGGGAGCAAACA
rnacentral:rRNA from 1 species